UCAGAGUAAAAGCCUCGUAUGACCAACCGCAAGCUUACGAUGGACCGGGGAGAGUCGGAUACUUUGAGAGUAGUGUCUUAAGGGGGUGUAUGUCCCAUCCAAGGCUAAAUAACGUGAGGAGACCGAUAGAUUACAAGUAGUGUGAACGAAAGAUGAAAAGAACUCUAAAACAGAGGGUGAAAAGUUCCUGAACUUGCUUAGGGUUAAGGCUAUUUAUAGUACCCGUCUUGAAACACGGAUUAGGGAGUUUAUCUGUAGUGCGAGUCUUUGCACGUUAACUGUAAAGGCGUAGAGAAAGCAACUGGCGUUUGCAUGGCUACUGAGCAUUACUGAUAGGACCCGAAAGGUGGUGAACUUUGCCUGCACAGGUUGAAGUCAGGGGAAACUCUGAUGGAGGACCGUACGGGUUAUUGAUGUGCAAAUCAUUUUUCUGAUGUAGGUAAAGGUGCGAAAGACUCAUCGAACCACCUAAUAGCUGGUUUCCUCCGAAGUUUCCCUCAGGAUAGCUGUAAUGCAUUUAGUUAAGGGGAGUAGAGAUAUGGGUAGAGGUGCAGGGAGCCUUCGGGUUCUCAACUUAUUUCCAAACUUCGAACCUCCUUGUUAGGCAUUUACCUAACUGGAAAUGCUUAAAUGAAUUAGCGUUACAAGUGGGCUCUGACCGGUAAGCGGUCAUGGCGAAAUGGGAUGAACCAUACGUCUGAAUAAGGUGCCGAAAUGUACUAUCACUGAUACCAUAAAGGGAGUCCAUGUAUUUAGACAGCAGGUCGGUGCCCCUAAAAGCAGGUAUCCGCUAAAGAGUGUGUUAAAACUCACCUGCCGAAUACUAGGGCCCCGAAAAUGAAUGGCGCAUAUAGUACUACCGAUCUCAGACAUCAGUUCUAUUGAACUGAGAGUAGGGGGAUGUGGACAUUUUUGUGAAGGUGCAAUGUGAGUUGGACUGGAAGAAUGUCUAUUACAGAUCCUAAUUGAAGUAGCGAUUAUCCAGGCUUGUAUCCUGGGGGCUGAUGAGGAGUAGGGUUUCUGGACAACUUAAACAGAUCCAGAGUUAGUCGAUCCUAAUCUCAAUAAUGGAG
rfam:Trichomonas vaginalis G3, whole genome shotgun sequence.